AAGCUGGGGUGUCGGCGGGCGGCCGCGGCCGGGUCUAGCGGUGCCUGCGGAAGAAGGAGGAGGAGGGCUGGCGAUGAGAAGCAGCAGGGGGAAUCAAGGGCAAGAAGGGACCCAGAGGGGCAGGUGGCUGAGAUGCUGGCGUCCAGGUGACCCGAGGAAUCCUCUGGAGAUACAGGCCCGCGCAUGCGCGUGCUCGAGCGCUGAAGCCCAUUGCCCGCAGGGCGCUGGACUGGCGCCCCGGCCGGCGAGGCUGUCUAGUCCAGGCUCCAGGCCCCGGCUCUGGCCAGGCGCCGCCGCCUCCCGGUGCAGCUGAAAGUCGACGAAGAGGGCGGGGCGGGGGCGGCUUGUGGACUUCCACACUUUUCCUCUCUUCGGGCCAGUCUGGGGAGAGGGUGGCUAGCUGUGGCGGCGGCCAAUUACGUGGCGGACCUGCGGGGCUAAGCUGGCACGUCACUUCCGACUAGUGGAGUUUUUAGCCUUUUAACAUUCAAGGAUUAGGUAAAAGUCUUGCAGUGAAAAACCCGAGGACCCUUACCGCAAGUGUCUUUUGCUCCCAGCUACUGAUACUGGAUUCCACUCGUGAUUCUCCCUUUCUUAGCGCAUUCAUGAUAUAGACAUCAGUCUCUGAGCUGGAGGAGGACAAAGGCAGCGGUCCUGUGAAUUCUAUGCUCUAGCUUGGGUUAAGGGAUUUGGAAUUGCACUUGUUUCAGAGAGCUCCCUCUUUGCCCACUAGCAGGGCAUUAGCUGGUGCUGAAGACAGUGGCUGCUUGGCGAGCCUGGAUCUCCAAGUGACCCCCUCAGCAACUCCUGAUGAACAGGACUGAAGCCAAUAUUAAAGCAAGUCAACCAAAGGUUCUCUGGUGUAGACAAGACAGCAAAAGGACAGACUACCUUGUGGAACCUAGCAUUGUUCUCCUUCUGCAGCACUAAGUAACAUUUGUUCUCCGUUAAGAUCUUUGCAAACCACACACAAGAAUUGCUGGUCAUCCUGCCAAUAGAUGCUGCUCACAGAACCAAAUUUCCUGUGCUGAAUUGUCACUCAUGGGCUUGAGAGUAGGAGACUGGAGACCAAGGUGGCUAGAAUCCAGUUGGGCCUGAUGUCUCCCUGUUGAAAGGGCUCCUUGUGGAAUGAAUAGCACAUGGCUCCUGUGGUGGAUCUGAUAGUGGCAUAGCACCAAGUGAUGCAGGCCUGCCAGGGGCCACAGACACAGAAGAUGCUCCCGGGGUCCCCCAUGUACUCCAGACACACUGCAGGCCACCUCUCCCAGCAGGUUGCCAGUCAUGGGCCCCAUCAUCAUGACUUCUGUCCAAGGUACUGUGUGCAGAAAUGUGAUUGAGAUUCAAGUCAGGGCCUCUCUGCCCUUUUCCCUCCAGAAACAAAACCAAGAUAAUUUAUCCUGAACACGGUGAAAAAAGGAAGGGAGGGAGGAGAAAAAGUCCGGGUCUCACCUGGGAUUCUCUGUCUCCUGCAACAUGAAGGAUUUAGCCUGGGAGGAGGUGGUGAGAACUCUGGGAGAGAAAAAAGAAGGAAAGAAUAGUUUUACCCAUGCUGAAGUUAAUUUAAACCUUCACCUAGAGAAGCAAAAAAAAAAAACCCACACUUUCCCAUUUUGUGCCUCCCUUCCUAGAGUUUUAGCCAAAGGUUUAGCUAAGUAAUUGGUUUUACCAGCGCACUCACUCCUCCUAUCCCAAGUCUGUUUGACUCCCUCCCCAUCAUCCUCCUCACCUCUUUUCAGGCAGGGUGGGGAUAGCAGCAGGAGGAGAUUUUGGGAGCCUGGCAACUCCUGCAAGGACCGCAGGACAGCCCCUCUGUGGGGAUGCGUGGUGCCCCAUCUGCCGCCCUUCUGAAGAAUGCACUGCCUUCACUUUUUACUGUGUUAGAGUCCAUCCAGACUGUUCUAUCCAAAAAAGUUUCUUUUUCCCCCACAGGCAAUCAGGAAAUGAUUCCUUUCCCGACUGCUUCUGUCUAGUGCCUGGGAAUCUUGAGUCAAUCCCUCAGUAAGUCAGUGACUAGGGAAAUCCCUCUCUGAGCCUCCCAGUUCAUGUUGCUUAGGGAACCUGAUAUUUUCGUGAAACCUGCCUACACAUGGGCAGCCCAACAGCAGAACAAAUGGUGGUGACCAAAGUGAACAAAGAAGUAUAGUUGUGCCAGCUUCGUAGUUGCCCAUGUGGACAAGUCAGCAGGAUCAGGACACGAGGAAGAGUAAAUGUGAGACAGUCAAUGUGACUUCUGCGAUAAACAGAUUUUUAAACCCCGAAAUUUUGCAAAAUUUUGGUGAAACCUGAACUUUCUUCGUUGCAUAUACUGGCACUAUCUGUACCAUCAUACAACUGUCUCACAUUAAAGCUAUUUUUCUUGGGCACUGAUGAGUAAGGUUGGUAUAAGUUCCUCAGAUCAACAAAAACCCAUUUUCCUGUAAGUCUUACAUUUAGUAUUUAAGGAACUAAAACUUAAAUACAUUUUGUGAAAUGGUUGACACUUCACUGAUAAUGAUUUAUUGCUUGGAUUAAUAAAUUUUCCAAAAGUUGUCUUAUGUAGAAUAUGGUUUGCAACCAGCAGAACCAUUAAUCUAUACUGCAAUGAUAUGCACUAUGUAUAAUUGUUUAAAAGCCUCUACUUAAUGAUGUAAAAUGCUCUAUUUAAUUACACAUUUGGGUAAACUGUAUACUAACAUCUGAUGGCAUUUUUCCACUGUUUGUUGCUUUUUUCAAAUACUUUAUUGUACAAAGCUGUUCUUAAUAUUUUUCAAGUUUUUUUCUUUGAAUUUUGCUAAUGUUUUCCUUGAAUUAUGAGCACUGACAGAAUGUGCUUAGCACUUUUGGCUAUUCACACAGCUUUUGAGCAUGAUUUGCAUCCAAUAUUUACAUUGCUAGCAAUAAUAAGCCAUCUGUGAGUUUUGUCAAAA
ensembl:lncRNA HCG18 HLA complex group 18